rnacentral:rRNA from 1 species
GACGGAGGGUGCAAGCGUUAUUCGGAAUCAUUGGGCGUAAAGAGCGUGUAGGCGGCCGGUUAAGUCAGGUGUGAAAGCCCGGGGCUCAACCCCGGAAGUGCACUUGAUACUGGUCGGCUUGAGUUCGGGAGAGGGAAGCGGAAUUCCUGGUGUAGAGGUGAAAUUCGUAGAUAUCAGGAGGAACGCCGGUGGCGAAGGCGGCUUCCUGGACCGAAACUGACGCUGAGACGCGAAAGCGUGGGGAGCAAACAGG